rnacentral:pre_miRNA from 1 species
AUAAUACUCACUCCGUCCGGAAUUACUUGUCAUCAAAAUGGAUGUGUCUAGAACUAAAAUACAUCUAGAUACAUCCAUUUCAAUGACAAGUAUUUUCGGACGGAGGGAGUAGUAG